GACCUUGUGGCGCAACGGUAGCGCGUCUGACUCCAGGUCAGAAGGUUGGAUGUUCAAAUCAUGUCAAGGUCA
rnacentral:tRNA from 1 species